rnacentral:rRNA from 1 species
GUGCACCAGGCGCGAAAACUUUACAAUGCGGGCAACCGCGAUAAGGGGACCUCGAGUGCUGGGUUACAAACCUGGCUGUUGGGCUGCCUAAAAAGCAGUCUAUAGCAAGGGCCGGGCAAGACCGGUGCCAGCCGCCGCGGUAACACCGGCGGCUCGAGUGGUAACCGCUAUUAUUGGGUCUAAAGGGUCUGUAGCCGGCCGACUAAGUCUCUUGGGAAAUCUGGCAUCUCAAGUGUCAGGCUGCCAGGGGAUACUGGUCGGCUUGGGACCGGGAGAGGUGAGAGGUACCUCGGGGGUAGGGGUGAAAUCUUGUAAUCCUCGAGGGACCACCAGUGGCGAAGGCGUCUCACCAGAACGGAUCCGACGGCAAGGGACGAAAGCUAGGGGCACGAACCGGAUUAGAUACCCAGGUAGUCC